GCCACUUUAGCUCAGUUGGUAGAGCAGCUGAUUUGUAAUCAGCCGGUCGGCGGUUCAAGUCCGUCAAGUGGCU
rfam:Ignavibacteria bacterium GWF2_33_9 gwf2_scaffold_1186, whole genome shotgun sequence.